rnacentral:lncRNA from 1 species
GUCAAUGUCCUAGUUGUGUAAACAUAUAUAGUCAUCACUAAAUAGAUGCCUCUCCAUUACAAAGUCAACAAAGAACAAUUUUUUUUUAAAGCCCCCACUUCCUCCCCAGGAAACAGUGUAUGUUCAGAGAGGAAGCUGUCUUCCUGUUUUCUCCAUACUCGCACUUUUGCAAGGUUUUUGUCUAAGCUUCCAAACUCAGAGUCUCCAUCACAUGGAACAAGCUCUUCUAAACAAUUGGCCACAUUUUACAGCAGGGAAAUAAAAAAAAAAAAAAAAGAAAGUUUUAUUUCCCACAAAACAUGAAAAAGUAUUAUUAGCCUAAAUUGUCAUUGACUAUAUAUUCUUAAAUUCCAUAUUCCACCCCAAUCUCCAUCUCAUUCGAUGUAUACUGAGGGCACUAAAUUGUGGUUAUUCUGUCAAAAUUCUUUGCAAAAUGCAUCAACUCUUAGAAUCCCAAUGACAAAAGAAACUUGACAGGGCACCUGCUUUUUAUUAUUUUUGUAUUUUGUGAUACAAACCCGGUGUGCCUGGCACCCAAGAAUAAAGUAUAAUUCAAGAACGUUUUGUACAUUCUGCUCUAAAAUUUUAGCAUUUCAACAAUGAUUUCUGGAGCUAUUAAAAAGAACCAUUUGGAAAUAAAGCCAUUGCCCCCUUUUUUUCUGAGUUUUUAAAAUCAGUUAAGGAGCUUUUAUUUCACCCAGUGAUACUGAAGCAAUAAAUUCUCAGAUAAACCAGAGAAUUAAGGCAGGGCUCGAUUGAGAGGAUAUUUUCAGUGAGAUGAAUUUUGAGUUUGGUAACUUUUCAGUUUAUCUCUUUUACUCUUGCUUUUACAUCCCCAGUUUGUGAAUUCAUCAAGUCAAGGUUUUCAGUGUUGUCCAGAAGAUCGUCUAAAUCCAAAUCAUCAAAGUGCUUGUUAAAAUGCAGAUUCUUGACUCUCGGCCAGAUCUAAGACAUCAGAAUUGGGCCUGGGAAUCUGCAUUGUUGCAGCUGCCCAGUUUGACUACUUAAGGGUGUGAUAAAGACAUAAGGGCUUAUCUCUCUCAGGGGUAUUUACUUGUUAAUAGCAACCAAAGACUUGAAAACCUUUAAAAUCUAUAACUUUUUUCUCCUUAGGGGCCAGAUUUUUUUUUUUUUUUUUUUUUUUUUGGCUGUGCCCAUGGCAUGUGGAAGUUCCCAGGCCAGGAAUUGAAUCUGCACCACAGCAGCGACCCAAGCCACUGCAGUGACAACACAGGAUCCUUAACCUGGUGCAUUGCAAAAGAACUCCUGUGGGCAAAAUCUUUGGGGCCUAUAUAGCAGACUGUGAUGGGUAAAUAUUCUGAGAGUGAUUAACCUGGGAAAAAGCAUUAUAAAAUCUGAAGGCUCUUUUACUUGUGAUUAUUUUGAGUACAUUUACACUUCAACAGUACCCACAAAACUUACUAUUAGUUUUUAAAUUACCCUCCACAUUAUGUAACAGAACCACAGUAUUUUAAGAAUAUAUCAAUUCCUGAUAACUGUCCAGUUUGAAAGAAAUAAUUCUUCUUAUAUUUCUAGCUCCAAGAAAUACCAACAAGCAUACUUUAUAGUAAAUGUUCAAGACUUUACUAGAAAAGCAGAUUUUAAAGCAAACUGAUGGGUCAGAUUUAGACAACCAAUAGUUAACUACACCUAACUUUGAUGAUUCUCAAUGCUGACUAAAGCAUGUACCAAAUGCCUUAUUGUUUUAGAUGCAUCAAAACAAUUUAUACAAAUUUAUCAAAUGAUUUAUCAAUUAUUUAUAAAUUAAUACAGCGUCAAGACGAUUAAAAGGCAUUCAUUCACUUAACACAGACCGACCAUUUAGACUUAUAAUGAAAUAGCUCUAAAACAGGGUGUUUGUUGUGUCCACCUACAAGCCAUUCAGCCUUUUUAAGACUCAAUUUACUCACCUGUAUCAGCAGUAGUGAAAGGAACUGAGUCAAAGGGAUAUUGGGAGGAUUAAGUGAUAAAUGUACUUAGCACAGCCUCUACAGUAAGUGCCCAAUAAAUGUCCAUUAUUAUAAUUAUUUUCCUUGCUUUUUUAUCUCCAGGCACCAUGUUAGACAAUACGACAAACCAGAAUACUGUUAUAAAACCAGCAUAUCAUUCAACUCCUAACACUAUCUUGUACACUGCAGCAUGUCAAUAUAAUUGGCUUCUUCUUUUUCUUUUUUUUUCUUUUUUUUUUGUAUUUUUAGGGCCGCAGCUGCUGCAUGUGGAAGUUCCCAGGCUAGGAGCUGAAUUGGAACUACAGCCGCUGGUCACCACAGCCACAGCAAUGCCAGAUCCUCAAACCCACUGAGCGAGGCCAGGGACCGAA